GGUCUGCUGCGGGCAUGUCCAGGCAAGACAAGUCCAGGUUCCCUUAUCUGCACAUAACAUCUGGUGUAAACACUUGUGGGGCUGGUUGGAGAUUCUCCGGGGACCCUUCCGUAUCUGCCUAGGCAUUUUGCUGUCUCCUCCUAAUACGGAACAAGCACAAUAUAAAAAACAAUUAGAGCAGUUAAACAAGGAUAUAAUACAGCUUCACUAAAUAAGAAGGAACUCACACUUAAAGAUGUGGAACGUAAAUUCUACAAAAUGAAAACUGCUUAUGAAGACGUUACAACUGAGUUAGAAGAAUAUAAGGAAGCCUUUGCAGCAGCAUUGAAAGCUAACAGUUCCAUGUCAAAAAAAUUAACUAAAUCGAAUAAGAAAAUAGCAAUGAUCAGUAUCAGCUCUUUAUGGAGAAAGAGCAGGUGAAAUAUUUUCUCAGCACUCUUCCUACAAGGCGAGGUCGAGAGUCACCUUGUGUUGAAAAUCUUACUAGUAUAGGACUCAACAGAAAAUAUAUUCCCCAAAUGCCCAUAAGAAUUCCUACUUCAAACCGUCAGACUUCAAAUAACUGCCAGAACUACUUGACUGAGGUUAGUUAUAUGACCGUUUCUC
rnacentral:lncRNA from 1 species